AAAAAGUCCACUGCUGCUGAAUUCCUGUCCAAGGGGAGAGAGGAACGCUCAUCUGAAUGUUAUAAAGCAGGAUGCAGCAAUGAAGAAAGUGAGUCUGAGGAGCUCCUGGAAUCACAGUCUGUCAAUGAAGAAACCCGACAUUCAAAAACUGAUGGUGGUCCGAAGCCUGGGAAGCAGCAGAAACCCGACAGCGACACAGACGAAGGCUCUGGAAUGUAGUGCAGAGGUGUGGAACUAACUUUGAACAAGAUGUUGACAAGACAUCAAUAGAAAAAAAAUAGAGAGAAAAAUCAAUAGGAUAAUGAUGGGGGACACUAGGUUAUAAUGCUUGGAACAAACCCCAGAUAACAAAAUGUACUUCAUUACUGACAGGAGAGAAAGAAAAAACAAACAAACAACUGUAUUACUGUUUAAAAUGUCAACUGACGUUUCUGCACUGCAAAACCUUAGUAAUAUAUAUUUAUCCACAUAUACUUUCUUUGAGCAUUUUGCUAAAGGGAAAUACAAUUUUUGGUUGUAUGUGGCAUAUAUACAUACAUUUAGUAUGAACUGUAGUUACCUUACAAUCUAAGUGGUGCUGUGCAAGAGUGGUGCUGUUUUAAUAAAUUUAGUGAAGUAACUCUCAAAGGGUAUCUAGUGCCAGAUUAGCAAUCACGAUACGUGUUUCACCAGUAUAAUGCUGAAUACAGGUGAACUGUUUGGAAAUAGAUACUCUGCGUGAACCGGUGCUUUUUCACUAAAGUGGUUUUAAAAUAAAAACAUGUGGCAACUUUAACUGUUCGGGUUUUUUUGUGCAUUCAAUUUGUUUGUACAUACUGCUAUGUUUUAUCAAGACAGCCAGCUCACACUGCCAUCUGAAAAAAACGUUUAAACUACUCAUUUAAAAAGAGAGGAAUUUAUACGUGCAAUAUGGAUAUAGAAGCUUGGCUUUGGAUGGCUGUUUUCAGAAUAAUACUAACAUCACCUGCAUAGCCCACCAAAUAAUUACAUGUGUUCUUAUUAUGUGUUAAUUCUAUAUUGUCCAACUAUUAGGAUUUCAUACAUGU